rnacentral:rRNA from 1 species
AGUGAACGCUGGCGGUAGGCCUAACACAUGCCAGUCGAACGGCAGCAUAGUAAGAGCUUGCUCUUACGGGUGGCGAGUGGCGGACGGGUGAGGAAUACAUCGGAAUCUACUUUUUCGUGGGGGAUAACGUAGGGAAACUUACGCUAAUACCGCAUACGACCUACGGGUGAAAGCAGGGGAUCUUCGGACCUUGCGCGAUUGAAUGAGCCGAUGUCGGAUUAGCUAGUUGGCGGGGUAAAGGCCCACCAAGGCGACGAUCCGUAGCUGGUCUGAGAGGAUGAUCAGCCACACUGGAACUGAGACACGGUCCAGACUCCUACGGGAGGCAGCAGUGGGGAAUAUUGGACAAUGGGCGCAAGCCUGAUCCAGCCAUACCGCGUGGGUGAAGAAGGCCUUCGGGUUGUAAAGCCCUUUUGUUGGGAAAGAAAAGCAGCAGGUUAAUACCCCGCUGUUCUGACGGUACCCAAAGAAUAAGCACCGGCUAACUUCGUG